rnacentral:rRNA from 1 species
UACGUAGGGUGCGAGCGUUGUCCGGAAUUACUGGGCGUAAAGGGCUCGUAGGUGGUUUGUCGCGUUGUUCGUGAAAACUCACAGCUUAACUGUGGGCGUGCGGGCGAUACGGGCAGACUGGAGUACUGCAGGGGAGACUGGAAUUCCUGGUGUAGCGGUGGAAUGCGCAGAUAUCAGGAGGAACACCGGUGGCGAAGGCGGGUCUCUGGGCAGUAACUGACGCUGAGGAGCGAAAGCGUGGUGAGCGAACAGG